rnacentral:lncRNA from 1 species
GCAAUGUGACCAAGAUGUUCUAAUAUGAUUGGUGUAUAUCAAAGUAAACAAGAAGAUCUAAUACCAUUGGUUUAUUUCAAUGCAUAGUUUAACAUAUAAAUAAAUUAUAGCACACAUUAAUUGGACUACAUUAUUAAGCAAUUACACAGUCAGAAUAAAACUUCUGUCAUAAUUCUCCUAGUUAGUUAUUACACAGUCAGAAUAAAACUGUCAUAACUCUCCUAGUUAGUUAUUUCACAGUCAGAAUAAAACUGUCAUAAUUCUCCUAGUUAGUUAUUUCACAGUCAGAAUAAAACUGUCAUAAUUCUCCUAGUUAGUUAUUUCACAGUCAGAAUAAAACUGUCAUAAUUCUCCUAGUCAGUUAUUUCACAGUCAGAAUAAAACCUGUCAUAAUUUUUCUAGUUAGUUCAAUGUACUAACAAUUGACCUUAUUCAAUGUUGGUUUUUCAUUUCCAAAUUUUAAAUUCCUGUUUUUAGCCUUUUUUUUAUUUUAAUCAUUUAUGCCGUAUAAACGAAAGAACAGACGGCAUUGGUAUAACGCACAGACCAGAAAACAUAUCGCCAAUAAAUGGGGCAUCAAAAACACUAUAUUCUUACUCUUAAAAAAAAACGUAUGUUAAAACUUGAACUUAUUUUAAAAAAAAUAAUAUUUUAUUAAUAAUUAUAAUGAAAACUAAUCUGUCUGAAAAAAUAUCUGCCUCAUUUAUCAUUAUAAAGAAGUGUUUUUUCACAAAAUAUAAGAUGAAUGUUGUCAAAAGAUACAUUUCAUAAAUAAUCAUUUAAAAAGUCUUCCCAAACAUGCACAUAGCUUAAAAUUUAUCAAUCAAUAUCAAACAUUGAUAAUAAAUAAAAUAAACAAUAUAUAUUGCACAUAAUUAUACAUAAUGUGAUUUGUCAUAAAAAGUGUGUACAUAAAAAAAAACAUUAGACCUAGUUUAUUAAUAACACAUGUUACACAUGUAUAAUAAGAUAAAUUUAUUGAUUUUAAUUUCUGAAGAACAAAAUUCUUUUAAAAUAAGGGGAGGGGGUUAAAACCUGGAUUUCAGCAUUUUUAAAAUGAGUUUUCUCCCUUUGAUCAGUAUUCAUUCCUAACCAGCGUGAAACAGACAUUACAGUUGUAAGAAUAUAUUAGUUUAAUGAGUAACCCCACCUUCUUGUUUGAUUGAACUUUGAAAUUAACAUGUCCAUAUGUGUCAUACUAAAAACAUUAGAAUUUAAAUGAAGAAAUCUAAAUAUUGGGAAUUUUAAACAAUAUUUUGCAAGUAAAUUUCACAAAUUUUCACAAUUUUGCUUUGUCCAUCUUUGACAGAUUAUUUUGAAGGAACACAAAUAAAUCUUAAACAAACAUUGAUCAGAUAACAAACUGUUAAUUUUUGGGACUUUGGAAGGAAAACUGGCAAUUGAUGUCACUUAAAAUGUAAAUUGAACACAAUUUGCCACAUGUGAGGUAUGUUCUAAAAAUCUGACAAGCUACAGGCGCCGAUCCAGAGGGGGGGUUCCGGGGGUUGGAAACCCCCCCCCCUUUGUCCUGGGUUAGGACCCCCCCCCCCCACUUUUUAAAAUGACUGGAUCCGCCCCUAAGCUAUUUAUCACUAAAGAUGAAUUAUUAAAAACCUUUGUCCACCACAACUGGACAUGCCAGUGAUCAUUAUAUAUUGUCCACCAAGGUCCUGAUUAUUCUAUGAAAUUUCCAAUAAAACCAAAACAAGGUGCAACCAAUCACCAUAAUGGUGGCAUCAUAUAUGUCAUCACUAUAAUGGUGGCAUCAUAUAUGUCAUCACUAUAAUGGUGGCAUCAUAUGUGUCAUCACUAUAAAGGUGGCAUCAUAUAUGUCAUCACUAUAAUGGUGGCAUCAAAUAUGUCAUAGACACAAAAUAAUACAAAGAUAUAACAACUAACACCGGUACUAGAUAUCUAUAUAGAACAAUACAACACUGAAGACGCCAUAAUUGAGGUUGGAGUGAACAGGAAGAAACUUAAUUUUGUGGAUAAUUUAUUUCAUGAUAUAUGCUAAGCAUGUUAAGCCAAAGACCAAAUCAUCAGUACGUUUGUGUCCAUCAUUUUCAUAAAUCGAUUCUAAGCUUCUAUGUUACAUGGAGGAUUUCCAAUCUGUUUUAGGUAAAAGCUUAAAAUACAUUGAUAAAUCGUGAAUUUUAUAAAUGCAUAACUGAUUUAAAGGGUUAUCUUCCUGAACCAAGGUCUACUCCCUUAAAUCAAAGAAGAAUCAACUUUUACAUAUUCGUGACGAUUUAUAUUGGCUAUAUUUUUUUACCGGCAAAAAUAAGUUGGUUUACAGUAAACAUGGUAAAUGAUCUGACAUUGCAAAUAGCAUUUAAAUAUUCUGACCCAAAUCCUAUUAAAUUUAAAUAAUUUUAUCAAAUGGUUGUAAUUACAAAAGUGUUGUAGUCUGUUAAAACAGUUUCUAUCUUUAAAAUAAAUUGGCCAAAAAUUCAACAUUGUUACUGUACAAAUGCUGUAUUACAUGUAAUGAUGUAUAUUAUACAUGUUAUAUGGAAUCGACUCUGGUACUAUCUUUUUCAUUCCUUUAUACCAUAAAGUGGGUUAUUUUCGCACGGGUGUAAAUUUUCGGUUAUUUUCUGGGAUAGAUCAAAAUUGUUUAAAUAAAUUUUACCAAUUCAAAAGCCCACAUGCAAAGGUAUUGAUAAAAGUUUUGAAUUUGCCAAAAUGAUAACGGCUAAAAACAAUUGUAUACCUUAUUCAAUGAAAAUCCCAAAAUUUUACACCAGCAAAAAAACCUGCUUUACGAUACCAUGGGGCCUCUACCGAUAUAUCAUGUGUACAAUCCUUUUACUUAUCUUAAUUAUAUUUCUGCCUUACUUAUGAUGUGUAUGUAGUUUAUAAAUACUGUGACUGGAUCCAUGUAAUAGAUUCCAUAUAUGUAUAUAUCCAUAUAAUUCAAAAUUUCAGAAAAUAAAAAAGUAUAUAAAAAUAAAAUUUAGCAGAAAAAAGUGGAAUAUAAAAAGUACAAGAACUGUCAUGACUGUAUAAUAAAAUAUAAUUCUGAUGUUGAAAUGAAUGAAUACAUGUCAGUUUUAUGCAAAAUAUAAAAUCAGCAAAUUUGACGGUUACAAAGUUAUUCUCAAAGCUAUAAAUAAAAACAAAUAGGUUAAAAUUGAGGUCGUUACCAUCAUACACUACAACCAGCAUGGGUUUGUUCUUCCACUCAUCCAUUGUGUCCACCAUUUUAAGAGGAUAUGCCACUUCUAUAUUUUUGAUAUGUGGGGUUGGAAAGAGUUAAGACAGAUAAAAAUUAUAAAUGACAGCCAAAAAUCAAAGUGGCAAGUAUAAAUAAAAUAAUUAAUCUUUUAUCAUAAUUAAAGAAUUUAGCAUAAAAAUCACUUUGAUUUUUUUUUUAGAAACUACCGUAUGAAAUUUUAUUGAAUCUUUUUUAAAUUGAGUGGAUAUAAGUUGGUUCUCCACAGUGGACAGGUACAGAAAGAAGCAUCCAUUUUAGCUGUAGCGUAUUUGACUAGAUCUUAUAAAGAAUAUCUACAAUGGCAGAGGUUUAUCUUGAGUCUAAUGCUGGCUAAUGCUUUAAAAACAGUAAAUAAAUAUACCCUUUUGAUUCUAAAUUGAACUUAUUUUUAGUUUUUGAAAAAAAUAUAUGUUCGUUUUCAUGCUCCUUGUCAACGAUUUUAUUGCUGUGUUGGAGAUUAGUUAGAGGCCUUUGGCUGUUUUAUGCUGUUUGGUCAGGUUGUUGUCUCUUUGACACAUUCCUCAUUUCCUUUCUCAAUUUUAUUUAGUAAAAUUUGACCUGUCUAUCAAGUUAAUUGUCAUGAUUGUGCAAAAUAUAAUUUAAAAAUAAAAUGAAAUAAAAAAAUCAAAAUGGUUUUCUGGUACAUCAUGUUCUUAUAAAAAUUUAAUCUUUAAAGAAAUUACACUGGUACGCAUUUAAAAGACAUAGUUAAAAUGAGCACCAUUAAACUGUACUUUUUUUCAACGUUAACAAAACUGUUAUUGUCAUCAAAGUUAUACAUUACUUAAAAUUCAUACAAGUUAAGAGUGUUAAUUACAUUGAAACAUAUAAAAUGCUAGAUAAUCAUUUCAUUUGAGCUACGUCAGACAGAAAUCAACCUUAAGCAAGUGCAUGUAUACAUGCAUAUAUGUACAUGUGCAAAAAAGUUCCAAAAAGAAAUAACAAGAUAAAAGUGUGUGUCUUAUUUUUUUUCCUUUAUUUUGUUAUAAAUUGAAAGUAUAUUAAUAAAAAAACUAAAAAAGCAGAAAAAAAUGGAGGUUCCGUGUGCUUGUUUUCGAGAUAUAAGCCGUUGAAAAAUUUGGCGGGAAAUAAUUCUCUCUAGGUUUUUCGUUCACUUAACAUUGGCACCUUUUUUGUUAAAAAAAUAAGAAAAAAUAACAAGGAUUUCAUAAGAUUUUGAAAUAUGGCUUUUUAAAUAAUAUGUAAUAAAAAUAGGAAAAGAAAAAUAGAGGUUAGUGGGCAAAUUUUUUUUAAUGUUAAUACAUGUAUAGAACCAGAGGAUUCCAAAAAUCUGGCAAAAAUUCAAAAAGUAGAGGAGCAAACAUCCUUAAGGUUACAUAUAAAUUUUAUGUCUUAUAACAGGUAUUUUCAUUUACAGACUUUCAAUAGAUUUUUUUAAAAUAGGUUACAAGAAGCAUCAAUCUUCAUUUGUAUAACAUGUAUAAGGUCGAUUUCUAUCUGACACAACUCAUUUCACAUGUUUAAAUAUGCUCAACUUAAGGUAAGUUAUGACAGAUAUUUAA